CAGUUAAUUUUGGAUUUUAGAAGAAAAGUGAAUAAUUUUUUAGUAUAAGUAUGUCCCAUGCACUAUUUGGGACAUACUUAUGCUAAAAGAAUGUUU
rnacentral:miRNA from 1 species